AGUGAACGCUGGCGGUAGGCCUAACACAUGCAAGUCGAACGGCAGCACAGUAAGAGCUUGCUCUUACGGGUGGCGAGUGGCGGACGGGUGAGGAAUACAUCGGAAUCUACUUUUUCGUGGGGGAUAACGUAGGGAAACUUACGCUAAUACCGCAUACGACCUACGGGUGAAAGCAGGGGAUCUUCGGACCUUGCGCGAUUGAAUGAGCCGAUGUCGGAUUAGCUAGUUGGCGGGGUAAGGGCCCACCAAGGCGACGAUCCGUAGCUGGUCUGAGAGGAUGAUCAGCCACACUGGAACUGAGACACGGUCCAGACUCCUACGGGAGGCAGCAGUGGGGAAUAUUGGACAAUGGGCGAAAGCCUGAUCCAGCCAUACCGCGUGGGUGAAGAAGGCCUUCGGGUUGUAAAGCCCUUUUGUUGGGAAAGAAAAGCAGCAGGUUAAUACCCCGCUGUUCUGACGGUACCCAAAGAAUAAGCACCGGCUAACUUCGU
rnacentral:rRNA from 1 species